rnacentral:rRNA from 1 species
GUCUAUGGCCAUACCAUCCUUAAUAUGCCCGAUUUUGUCUGAUCUCAGAAGCUAAGCAGGGUUGGACCUAGUUAGUACUUGGAUGGGAGAAUCUGAAAUGACUGCCCUCAGCU